rnacentral:rRNA from 1 species
UAAGGGAAACCGAUAAGUGAUCCACCUGGGGAGUACGAUCGCAAGGUUGAAACUCAAAGGAAUUGACGGGGGCCCGCACAAGCGGAGGAGCAUGUGGUUUAAUUCGAUGAUACGCGAGGAACCUUACCUAGACUUAAAUGUAGAUUGCAUAGAGUAGAAAUAUUCUUUUCCUUCGGGACUAUUUACAAGGUGCUGCAUGGUUGUCGUCAGCUCGUGCCGUGAGGUGUCGGGUUAAGUCCCAUAACGAGCGCAACCCCUAUUCUUAGUUGCCAGCGGGUCAUGCCGGGGACUCUAGGAAAACUGCCAGCGUAAGCUGUGAGGAAGGUGGGGAUGACGUCAAAUCAGCACGGCCCUUACGUCUAGGGCUACACACGUGCUACAAUGGCCGGUACAGAGGGCAGCUACCACGCGAGUGGAUGCGAAUCUCCAAAGCCGGUCUCAGUUCGGAUCGAAGUCUGCAACUCGACUUCGUGAAGUUGGAUUCGCUAGUAAUCGUAUAUCAGCAACGAUACGGUGAAUACGUUCCCGGGCCUUGUACACACCGCCCGUCAAACAAUGGAAGCUGGGGGUACCUAAAGUCUGUGAUCCGUAAGGAAGCGGCCUAGGGUAAAACUAGUAACUGGUGUUAAGUCGUAACAAGGUA